rnacentral:rRNA from 1 species
GCAGAACGCGAAGAACCUUACCAAGGCUUGACAUCCCCCUGAUCGGUCUAGAGAUAGAUCUUUCCCUUCGGGGACAGGGGUGACAGGUGGUGCAUGGUUGUCGUCAGCUCGUGUCGUGAGAUGUUGGGUUAAGUCCCGCAACGAGCGCAACCCUUAUCUUUAGUUGCCAGCAUUCAGUUGGGCACUCUAGAGAGACUGCCGGUGACAAACCGGAGGAAGGUGGGGAUGACGUCAAAUCAUCAUGCCCCUUAUGUCUUGGGCUACACACGUGCUACAAUGGUUGGUACAAAGGGCAGCAAGCCAGCGAUGGUAAGCAAAUCCCAGAAAGCCAAUCUCAGUUCGGAUUGUAGGCUGCAACUCGCCUACAUGAAGUCGGAAUCGCUAGUAAUCGCAGAUCAGCAUGCUGCGGUGAAUACGUUCCCGGGUCUUGUACACACCG